CAGCGUGCAAUGGAAACAUUUAUAAGAGAUUGGGACCCACGAGAACAUAGACUUCUACAUAACAGCAAUGUGGAGAAAGUUUGAGAUUUUAUAAAGAGUGUCUACGUGGAUAAGAAGUUUUUCACUUCAAAGGCGUCCGGAAAACCUCCUAGAGAUGCAAUGGAUGGUUCGGUUCUAUAUUGGAUGUGAUGGAAGUUGUUUUGAAGGCAUUUGCACCAAGGAGGUACUAUGAAAUUGACCUCCAUUAACGGCGUGAAGAUGUAUACAGUUGCAGGAUAACAUUGCUCGCUGGCCACUUGGCUACCGCCGAAGAAGCUUAGAGCUCUUCGCAAAGACAAAAAUUACACGGAAAGGGUGGAUUUGAUCCAAGAUUUAAGAUUUGUCAACGUUCUAAAGCCAUUGGUACAUAAUUGCACGCCAAUUACUCGACAAAAUGUCUCAAUGAAGUGCUGCCAUAAAAAUUGAAGUCAUAACGAUGUCCAGCAGAGUUCCAGCAAUAAGCAACUAACACACUUCUACUACAAAUUGCACCACCAAUAUAAUGGACUCGAUUUACUAAGGGAAAGAUUUUGGCAAAUCGAAGGAUAUGAUCUUCAAAAGGACUCGGGAAACUAACUAAUUUUAAGAACACUAAUCAUGGAUUCUUCUGAAGAUCGCUGCGACUAAGGUGAUUUCGAAUUUGCAUUUAACAAUAACAACUUCUCUGAUCGUGUUCUUUGCAUCUAUAUCUUUGAUGAGUCUACACAGUCCCCAUUAGGUGUUUUCGGAAGCUUCAAAUGAAGAAAAGUAAGCUGCAAGUGCAUCUGAAGCUGCAAAUGAAGAAGGGGUGAUGGAAACGAGAGAAUAUAUAUCUAUCUAUAAAUGAAGAAGAUGAAACACAAUCGGUUCGGUUUGGUUCGGUUCGGUUCGGUUAUGUUCGGUUAUGAAGAUCAUCUUAUACAUAACUAACCAUAACCGAAUGGUUCGGUUAUGAGAUCUCCAUAACCAUAAAAUGUUGCAAGUAAGACAACAAAUGUGGUGU